CCUCUGUUCUCCCCUUCCUCGAGGCGCCAGAUCUGACAUCCCACCCAAGCUCGCCUUCGCUGCCGCGCUUCCUAGAUCCCGAUCUCCCCAUGACUCCUCCCAUCCGCUGACGCCACCACCGCAACCGCCACCGCCGCCGCCGCGAUGGCGUCGCGCCCGCCCCUCCGCACCACCUCCGUCGCCUCCGUCUCCUCCUCCACCGACUCCCCCACCUUCGCCGGGCCUCCCGGCGGCGUCCCGCAGUCCAUCACCGCGCUCCUCAACAACCCGCUUCCCUCCGCCGCCGCCUCAUCCUACUCCUGGCUACCCUGGCCGCCCCCAACCAUCGCUCUCCCCGAGGCGGCUCCCACGCCACCGUCGCACCCCAGCGAGGUCACCCGCGCCGACUUCGCGCCCUACCUCGCCGCCGUCUCCGACCCCUAUGCUCGCUUCGCUGACAUUCGCCUCCACGCCACCGCCGAGCUCGCCGCCUCCUCGGACGCUGAGGGUGCCCCUGCUGCCUCCUCCGGCCUUGCCGCCUGCCUCCGCGAGGUGCCCGCGCUCUUCUUCAAGGAGGACUUCGCGCUCGAGGACGGACCCACGUUCCAGGCCGCCUGCCCGCUCGACGACGACGGGCUGCAGGAGCGCCUCGGCCAGCACCUCGAUGUCGUCGAGGCGCACCUCGUGCGGGAGAUCGCGCUCCGGUCCGAGUCCUUCUACGAGGCGCAGGGCCGGUUGCGGGGGCUCGACGGGGAGAUUGUUACUGCAGUAGGGAGGAUCCGCGAGCUCAGGGAAGUGGUGCGGGUGCUCACGGGGGACCUCGUCGGGUCAGCAAGGCAGGUGCAGGAGCUCAAUGCCACGCGGGGCAACCUUGUGGCACUGCAGCAGAAGCUUACUGUCAUCCUCUACGUCAGCCAGGCACUUGCUGCACUCAAGUUGCUUGUUGCAGCAGCAGAUUGUGCUGGUGCCCUUGAUGUCAUCGAUGACUUGCAAAAUUUACUAGAUACUGAUGAACUUGCUGGGCUUUACUGCUUUCGCCAUAUUCGGGAUCAGCUGGGAACAUCACUAGAUUCAGUGAACAGCAUUCUUUCAGCAGAAUUCGUGCACGCUGCUGUUCCUGAUGGAAAAGCUGUAGAUGCUAUGAUUUCAUCAAAUGUAAAAAGAAAGGCUUCCAGCCCAUUGAAUGGGACAGAACAUGAGGGUAACAUAGAUGAGGAGGAAAGUUUUAUUCUCAGAGAUCGACUCCUCCCCCUCAUUAUUUGCCUGCUGAGAACGGACAAACUUCCUGCAGUUCUCAGAAUCUACCGAGAUACACUUAUUACUGUGAUGAAAGCUUCAAUCAAAGCCACAGUUGCAGAGUUGCUUCCAGUUUUAACUGCCAGACCAAUAGAUUCUGAUUCAGUAACUGGAGACAGGGCUGCUGAUGCUGACGCUGGAGGCCAGUCCUUAGCAAAUAAGUUGCGAAGUCUAUCAUCUGAAGGGUUUGUUCAACUUUUGUCUGCCAUUUUCAGGAUAGUACAGGUACAUUUACAGCAAGCAGCUGAGGUGAAAAGAAUUGUUGAGUGGAUCAUGGGAAACCUUGAUGGAACCUUAAGUAUUGAUGCUAGCAAUCCUACAGUACAACAUGGUGGUUCAGUUGUUUCUGAUAUUUCCCAAGAGAAUGACUACAGUGUUUCUUCACGGGUCUCUAAUACUCUCACACGGAGUACUUCCAAAAUCCCAUUUGUCCAAGCAAAAGCAAAUGAUUUGUCCAUCAUAAAUUCAAUAAAGAAUGUCCGGGCUGAUGUAUUAAGAGAAAACACUGAAGCAGUUUUCGCUGCAUGUGAUGCUGCCCAUGGGCGAUGGGCUAAGCUCCUAGGUGUCCGUGCUGCUCUACAUCCCAGGUUAAGGCUUCAGGAAUUCUUGAUCAUCUACAAUAUAACAGAAGAAUUUAUAGCUGCUACUGAAAAGGUUGGAGGCAGGUUGGGUUACAACAUUCGUGGAAUCCUACAGCAACAGUCGAAGCAGUUUGUUGAUUAUCAGCAUAGCGUUCGGAUGACAAAAAUCAAGGCAGUUCUUGACCAAGAGACGUGGGUUGCUGUUGAUGUUCCUGAAGAGUUCCAAGCAAUUGUUCUAUCACUUUCAUCCACUUAUUCUUCUGUUAAUGGCAUGGAUAUGCCUGGUGCAGAAGAUAACUCAAAGUUCAGUGAUCCUACGAGUCAAGAACCAACAUAUUCAGGUGAAAAUAAUGCUGAUAAUGGCAAAUUAACAUCUGCGAUAGGUGAAAGCAAGGUUGAGUCCACUUCUCCUCAGACUGAAAAUAAUGCCACUGGGAAUCAGAGGUCAACCUUGCAAACUAUUGUACAUGGAGGUGUUGGCUAUCAUAUGGUAAACUGUGGCUUGAUAUUGCUGAAGAUGUUAUCAGAAUAUGUUGACAUCAGUAAAUGUUUGCCAUCAUUAUCUUUUGAGGUGGUCCAACGUGUUGUGGAAAUAUUAAAGCUUUUCAACAACAGGACUUGCCAACUUGUCCUCGGUGCAGGCGCCAUGCAGGUGUCUGGCCUUAAAUCAAUUACGUCUAAGCAUUUAGCUUUGGCAAGUCAAAUAAUUAGUUUUAUACAUUCUCUAAUUCCAGAUAUCAGGCGAGUACUUUUCCUGAAAAUACCUGAGGCACGCAAACAGCUGUUAAUGUCCGAAUUGGAUAGAGUCACUCAGGACUACAAGGUUCAUCGAGAUGAAAUUCACAGCAAGCUUGUCCAGAUAAUGAGGGAGAGAUUGCUUGCAAAUCUUAGAAAACUACCCCAAAUUGUCGAAGGCUGGAAUGGCCCAGAGGAUAAUGAUUUGCAGCCUAGUCAAUUUGCUAAAGCUGUUACAAAGGAAGUAAACUAUUUGCAUCGCAUCCUUUCUCAAACAUUGCUUGAAGUCGAUGUGCAAACAAUAUUCAGGCAAGUAGUUCAAAUAUUCCAUUCUCACAUUACAGAAGCGUUUAGAAAAUUGGAGGUCAGCACUCCUCAGGCGAAGAACAGAUUAUGCCGAGAUGUUCAGCAUAUUCUUACAUGUAUCCGGAAGUUACCAGCUGAGAACUUCAGUGCAGAAACUACUCCAAAUUAUGGUCUUCUUGAUGAAUUCUUGGCUGAGAACUUUGGGACAAAAGUUGGUGAGUGAUUGACUGUACAUUAGGAACUGACUUAUGUCUUCACAAAUGUUCAAUGUUGGAAAAUAUGUUAAAUGGGAAGUGCUCCAAGACAUUGCCAUGUUUGGCCUAAAUUCCGUGCAGGUAUUGCUGUGCAGGAUAGUGAAGGAAGAGCUCCCAGAUGACAUAAUUGCUGAUUUUCUCGACCUUCCCAAAGAUUAAAUUUUUGGGUCCAUAGCUUUACCAUGUCAGGCCAUAUUUGUUUUUUUUUUCCAAUAGUAUUUUGAUUCCCGUUUGGGAAGCUGAUAUCUGUUAGAUGCUGGUAUAGAGGAAACCUGAGAGUUUUGGCACCACGGCCUAGCUUCAUGCAGUUAGGUCCAUUGUAUUGAAUAGGCCUCGAGAUGGCAGCCCAUGUAUUUUAUCCCUGCAAGGUUUGUAAUUAUUAUUCUUGGUGCAAAAAAUAAUCAGUUGCUAUAAGUUAGUCUAGGCAAUGCGUCAAGUUUCAUUGCUAUAUGCAGGAAAUCUGCGCUUUAUAGGCUUCUUUCAGCUCUAUCUGCUUGAACGGGGAAGAAGAAAAUCAGAGGUUACUGUGUUUAUCAGAUCGGGCGACUGAUAAUCGUAUCCUAACUCCCGUUUAACUCCAAUUUGAGUCUGCACUUUGUUGUGGGGGUCUAUAUUCAACUAUAUCAAUAUUUGUCUGAAUGCUCACGGUUCUACAUGGGCACCCUGAAAGACAACGUAAAUUUGGAAUACAUAUGUGCAACUGUUUUGUA